rnacentral:rRNA from 1 species
AGGGUACAAGCGUUAAUCGGAAUUACUGGGCGUAAAGCGCGCGUAGGUGGCAAAGUAAGUUGGAUGUGAAAGCCCUGGGCUCAACCUAGGAACAGCAUUCAAAACUACUUAGCUAGAGUACGAGAGAGGAGAGUAGAAUUUCUGGUGUAGCGGUGAAAUGCGUAGAUAUCAGAAGGAAUACCAAUGGCGAAGGCAGCUCUCUGGAUCGUCACUGACGCUAAGGUGCGAAAGCGUGGGUAGCAAACAGGAUUAGAUACCCUGGUAGUCCACGCCGUAAACGAUGAGAACUAGCCGUUGGGGAGAAUUAACUCUUCAGUGGCGCAGCUAACGCAUUAAGUUCUCCGCCUGGGGACUACGGCCGCAAGGCUAAAACUCAAAUGAAUUGACGGGGGCCCGCACAAGCAGUGGAUCAUGUGGUUUAAUUCGAUGCAACGCGAAGAACCUUACCUACCCUUGAAAUCCAGCGAAGUUCCUAGAGAUAGGAAUGUGCCUUCGGGAACGCUGUGACAGGUGUUGCAUGGCUGUCGUCAGCUCGUGUCGUGAGAUGUAUGGUUAAGUCCAGUAACGAGCGCAACCCCUAUCCUUAUUUGCCAGCGCAUAAUGGCGGGAACUAUAAGGAGACUGCCGGUCAUAAACCGGAGGAAGGCGGGGACGACGUCAAGUCAUCAUGGCCCUUAUGGGUAGGGCUACACACGU